AACGAACGCUGGCGGCAUGCCUAACACAUGCAAGUCGAACGAGACCUGCGGGUCUAGUGGUGCACGGGUGCGUAACGCGUGGGAAUCUGCCCUUCGGUCGGGAAUAUCGGAGAGAAAUUUCAGCUAAUACCUUAUAAUGUCUCCGGAACAUAGAUUUAUAGCCGAGGGAUGAGCCUGCGUAGGAUUAGGUAGUUGGUGGGGUAAUGGCCUACCAAGCCGACGAUCGUUAGCUGGUCUGAGAGGAUGAUCAGCCACACUGGGACGGAGACACGGCCCAGACUCCUGCGGGAGGGAGGAGUGGGGGAUAUUGGAAUGUGGGCGAUAGCAUGAUCCAGCAAGGACGGGAGAGUGAUGAAGGCCUUAGGGUUGUAAAGCUCUUUUAUCCGGGAUUAUAAUGACGGUACCGGGAGAAUAAGCACCGGCUAACUCCGUG
rnacentral:rRNA from 1 species